AAAUGAGACUGUUUAAGUGAAAUCCCUUGGAAACUUGUAACAUUAUUUACAAAUAUAAAAUACGAUCAUCUUUUGUUUCUCUUGCUAUUUCCUUCAGGAAGUUAGGACUGAUUGCUAUUAUUACCAUUAUUACAUUUUGGUAUAGGUUAUUGAUGUAAUCAUAUAAUAAGAUAUAUUUCUUUCCCAAAUGACUACCAUUCAGAAUUCUAAAUUACCAGCUAUUAAAUAUCUAAACUUUUAAAUUCCUAUUUCAGAGAAACUGUCAUCAAUUCCACUCACUAAUAUCAAGGUACUAUGUUCUAUUUCCCCCUUGAAUUACUAUUUCUCUUUCCAUCUCCUUCCAUCUUUAAAAAUCAGUUCAGCUCAGUCCAUUCAGUUCAGCUCAGUUCAUUCAGUUCAGUCGUUCAGUCGUGUCCAACUCUUUGCGACUCCAUGGACUGCAGCAUGCCAGGCCUCCCUGUCCAUCACCAACUUCCAGAGCUUGCUCAAACUCAUGUCCAUCGAGUUGGUGAUGCCAUCCAAUCAUCUCAUCCUCUGUCAUCCCCUUCUCCUCCUGCCUUCAAUCUUUCCCAGCAUCAGGGUCUUUUCCAAUGAGUCAGCUCUUUGCAUCAGGUGGCCAAAGUAUUGGAGUUUCAGCUUCAAUAUCAGUCCUUCCAAUGAAUAUUCAGGACUGAUUUCCUUUAGGAUGGACUGGCUGGAUCUCCUUGCAGUCCAGGGGACUCUCAAGAGUCUUCUCCAACACCACACACAGUUCAAGAUGAUGUAUUUUCUGUAAGAUACCUAUGUCAUCAAAAGCAACAUUGUCAUUCAACCAACGCCUACUUUUUCUUCUUCCUGUCUCUCCUGCAGAGCUGUUGCAAAAGGCACCACUUAGGAUUCUCAGCCUGACUAUUUAGAGAAAAGGGCCCUUGCUCCUGCAUUCUUCGGCCCCAAGGCAUCCGUGGCAGGACCAGUCGUGCAACCUUACCCUACCAGUCAAAGAAGGGAGCGAGCCUCUGACAGGCGCUGGUGUCGCCCUCCUGGAUGAUAGUGGCGUAAGUGGCACUUGAAUCAGACCAGUGGGGACACAUGGUUGUGCAAGAGGCUGUGGGUGGGUAACUUUAUCCUUGCCCCAGAAGAGCACUUGGCCACCUCUGGGUGCUCUGAGUGGCUGGUCCCUUAGUGUCUCCUGGCUUCAGAGGCAAGAUGUGGCAAGCACCUGAGAAGGGCUGGCCUCUUUCUGAGGUCUCUUAGAAGCCUGUUUUUUUUCUGCACAGUUGCUAUCAGACCUGCUGACGAUUCCAGGGCCCGGCACAUGGGCGAAGGCACCAGAUCUUCUGGAACUGUCCUGGCCCUUGAACAGUAACCACUGUGAGCAAAUGGCUGAUGAGAGGUGCCCUCCAGAACCUUAGUGAUAAUCAAGACACAAGGUUCAGUCUCACGGGGGUGGGGCCCCAACUAUUACUCAUUUCUUUCCAGGCGCUAAGAAAGGGGAAUGGCAGAAGGGAGGGACAUAUGCAUAUUUAUGGCUGAUUCACGAUGUUGUAGGGCAGAAACCAACAAAACAGUGUAAAGCAAUUAUUCUUCAAUUGAAAAAAAAAAAAUAUAUAUAUAUAUACAUAAACCAUGAGAAAAA